AUUGAACGCUGGCGGCAGGCCUAACACAUGCAAGUCGAGCGGAGCGGCGGACGGGUGAGUAAUGACUAGGAAUCUGCCUGGUAGUGGGGGAUAACGUCCGGGAACGGGCGCUAAUAACGCAUACUCUCAGAUGAGCCUAGGUGGGAUUAGCUAGUUGGUGGGGUAACGGCCAAACAAGGCGACGAUCCGUAACUGGUCUGAGAGGAUGAUCAGUCACAAUGGAACUGAGACACGGUCCAGACUCCUAGGGGAGGCAGCAGUGGGGAAUAUUGGACAAUGGGCGAAAGACUGAUCCAGCCAUGCCGCGUGUGUUAAGAAGGUCUUCGGAUUGUAAAGCACGUUAAGUUGGGAGGCGUUACCAACAGAAUAAGCACCGGCUAACUUCGUGCCAGCAGCCGCGGUAAUUC
rnacentral:rRNA from 1 species